GAAAGUGGUUGUGGCUGACAUAUACAAGGUGCUUUGAAAGGACCCAUUAGCAUUACGGAUGGAAGUGAAAUACUGAUUAACAUGAUCAAGAUUAUUAAAUUGCCAGAUGAAACAAAAGCUAAGAUAUGUCAUAUAUUAGAAGGUACAGUACAGAGGUGCAACUUGGAUGUGCUCAUUGUUAGAUUAUGCGAUUAAUUGUGGGAUUAUGUGUGACUCCUCAGCCUGACUGGGCAGGCCAGUGUGCUGCUGGAGUGGUGGAGAGCCCCAAGAACUCUGUGAGAGACCCUGCUCCAUCUCUCCAAGGCUGCUCCAGGAGCCACCUGCUUGAGGUGCUCUACCAGUCAGCUGGUGCUCUGAUUUCUGCUGCCUGCCCUGCCUCCCAGAAUAGUUUUGCUAUUCUGCACCAGGCUUCCUGCCGUGGUGAGCACCAGCAUUUCAGGACACAGCCGUGCUGGCAAAGAAAUAGCCCCAUACUAGUACAAAGAGUAUCAGGCACGUGUGGAGCAUAGUCUGUAUCUUUCUGCGUGCACUCUCUCACUGCUGCGAUCACUUAAAAGACAAGGGGACACCGAGUCUCAGAAGCCUUUGUUAAUCAUCCACAGCUGACUGUUCACCAUAUAAAUAAAUGAUGAUUCGUCCUCA
rnacentral:lncRNA from 1 species